rnacentral:rRNA from 1 species
GAGGAAUCUUGCGCAAUGGGCGAAAGCCUGACGCAGCGACGCCGCGUGGAGGAUGAAGGUCUUAGGAUUGUAAACUUCUGUUAAGUGGGAAGAAAUGUUUCGUUAUAAUACAGCGAGAAAAUGACGGUACCAUUAGAGAAAGCACCGGCUAACUUCGUGCCAGCAGCCGCGGUAAUACGAAGGGUGCGAGCGUUAUUCGGAUUGAUUGGGCGUAAAGGGUGCGCAGGCGGAAUACUAAGUCAACUGUUAAAUUUCCCGGCCUAACCGGGAGUCAGCAGUAGAUACUGGUGUUCUUGAGGAUGGAAGAGAGAAGUGGAAUUCUCGGAGUAGCGGUAAAAUGCGUAGAUCUCGAGAGGAACACCAAUGGCGAAGGCAGCUUCUUGGUCCAUGUCUGACGCUCAUGCACGAAAGCGUGGGGAGCAAAC